rnacentral:rRNA from 1 species
AUUGAACGCUGGCGGCAGGCCUAACACAUGCAAGUCGAGCGGAUGAAGGGAGCUUGCUCCUGGAUUCAGCGGCGGACGGGUGAGUAAUGCCUAGGAAUCUGCCUGGUAGUGGGGGAUAACGUCCGGAAACGGGCGCUAAUACCGCAUACGUCCUGAGGGAGAAAGUGGGGGAUCUUCGGACAUCACGCUAUCAGAUGAGCCUAGGUCGGAUUAGCUAGUUGGUGGGGUAAAGGCCUACCAAGGCGACGAUCCGUAACUGGUCUGAGAGGAUGAUCAGUCACACUGGAACUGAGACACGGUCCAGACUCCUAAGGGAGGCAGCAGUGGGGAAUAUUGGACAAUGGGCGAAAGCCUGAUCCAGCCAUGCCGCGUGUGUGAAGAAGGUCUUCGGAUUGUAAAGCACUUUAAGUUGGGAGGAAGGGCAGUAAGUUAAUACCUUGCUGUUUUGACGUUACCAACAGAAUAAGCACCGGCUAACUUCGUG